UGCCCCAUGGCUGAGUUGGUUACAGCGUCCGACUGUUAGGUCCUCCUCGACCAGCUAUCGGAAGGUCGUGAGUUCGAGCCUCACUGGGGCAG
rnacentral:tRNA from 1 species